rnacentral:rRNA from 1 species
CCUGACCCCGCGNNGCCGCGUGCGGGAGGAAGCCCUUCGGGGUGUAAACCGCUGUCGGGGGGGACGAAGAGACCGUGGGCUAAUACCUCACGGUCUUGACGGUACCCCCAGAGGAAGGGACGGCUAACUACGUGCCAGCAGCCGCGGUAAUACGUAGGUCCCGAACGUUGCGCG